rnacentral:lncRNA from 1 species
AGACUUCUCUUUUUAAUUUCAAUUGUUUUAUUUUUAUUUGUGAGAGUUAUUUAUUUUAUUUUGAUUUUGAACUAUGUUUUUAUUUUUCUUAUUUUGAUGGUUGUUUUUAUUCCAGUUUGUAACAUCUAAAUCUUUUUAUUUAUCUGUGUUUAUCUUCUUAUUAGUUUGCUCAGAAACAUGCACUACAUUUAGAUUUGCUCACAAUUCUGAUUUUCUCUAUUCUGGAGAUUUCAUCCAUAUUCAAGGUAGUUUCAUUUCGCUCCCUCUCUUUUCAUAUUGUGCUUAUUCUAUGCUUUUAUCUAUUUGUACA